AUGUAUGUGUGGGUGUGAACAAUUUGACCAGAGAUUAACCUUGAAUAUUGUUUUGGGGGGAACCACUUGUGGUUUUUGAGACAGUGUCUCCCACUGUGCCCUGAGGUGCACAGAUUCAACUAGGCUGAGUGGCCACGGAGCCCCCAGAGUUCUGCCUGCCUCUGCCUCCAGGGGCAACGUAUACAUUCUGUGUUCUGGGGAAUCAAGGCCAGGUCCCAUGCUAACACAAUGAGUUGGCUAAUCUUAUGUCAACCUUGACGCAGGCUAGAGCCAUUUAAGAGGCGAGAACCUCAAAUGAGAAAAUGCCUCCCUAAGAUCAGGCUAUGGCAACCCUCUAGGUCAUUUUCUUCCUUAGCGAUUGAUGGGGGACGGCCCAUCCCAUCGUGGGUGGUGCCAUCCCUGGGCUGAUGGGCCUGGCUUCUGUAAGAAAGUGGGCUGAGCCGAUUGGAGCCAGGAUGAACACACUGGCCUCUGCAUCAGCUUCUGCCUCCAGGUUCCUGCCCUGGCUUCCCUCGGUGGACUGCGAGUCAGGACGUGUGAGCCUCACAAACCUCUUCCUCCUAGCUUGCUUUUCUGGUCAUGAUGUUUCAUCGCAGCCACAGCAAGCUUCGGACUGGACGACACAGCAAGCACAGUCGCUGACUGAGCUCUCUCCCCGCCACUUACACGCUCGCUUCCAAAGCCACGAGCUGCUCGCUUUCUUCAAGCCUUUGGCCAAAAGUCACCUUCUCCGUGGAGCUGACUCUGACAGCUAAAUCGAGGCUUGCUUUGUGUCUGUCACCCGCCCUUUCCAAUUCCCCUGCCACGCAUUACGUUUUUGUUUAUUUCUUCACCCCCUGAUCAUUUUGCACAGCCACGGUGCCGGAGAACAGGCUUGCCUGCCAGGAGACCACGUCGUGCCAGGACUUCCCAGAAGAGGGCAGCCGAGGAACGCCAGAGACGGCCGAGCGGCGGCGCUUUGAUCUCCAGAUUCCCGCAAAGGCAAGAUAGCAACGCUGGGGAGGAGUGAACUCCCGCCCCACUUACUUCUAAGGCAGGCUUUUCCCCUUAACAAAAGGGUUCGGCGCAGGAGGCCGCUGGGGAGCCGAUAAGGCCCCUAUCCAUGGCACGGGAGUUUGUUUACCGAAAUUCAGGUGUAAAAAUUUGAGAGAGCAUUGAAUAGAAACAAGGUCAGCCAACUCUCCCACGGUGGGAGGACGGGGUGGAGAAGGCCGGCCGGCGAGGACCUGCGUCACUCCUCCGAAGGACAGAAAACGGCGUUUGCUCCCCCUGCUAUCUGGGUGAAAGAACUCAGCCCCUGUCCCACCCCCGGCUGUCAAGCCUCUGCUCUUAUUCUCCGCACUCCAGCAGAUGACAUUACAAGACCCAGACCGCACACCCUCCCCGGGUGCUUCUGUUACCUACCAUUCGAUCAGGGAAUUGAGUUGCAGCGGUAACAAAACCUUCAAAAGCCAAGUUCAAGGUGACUCUGCCUCAGAUCAAAUCAUCCUUUGAGUGUGUCAGGUGGGAAGUUGGGGCGGGGCUUCAAGGGAGGCAUUGCAGAGCACCUGAAGUCUGUUGACCCAGAACUGGCCAAUCAGCCGGUCGGACUAUUAAGGCUUGGACGACAACGUGAACCAGCCUUUACUGAGUGCUUCUUGUGUGGUAGACACACGCAAGGUAUGUCAGUGGCAUUAUCCUACGAAUUCCCAGAGCAACCAACUCUUAAAGUCUGGGCCGUUUGUCCUCACUUACAGGCGACACGAGAGAGGUUAUCUCUCCCCCAAAGACCCAGCUAGUCCUGGGGCUCACUCUCAGUCAUCUGGAAGGAGUCAUCUCCAGAAUCCAGCAGACUCCAGACAGUAUGUCAUCUAGCUCAGUCUCUGACAGAUGGAGAGACUGAGGCCUAGGGAGUGGACAGGAGCUUCCCAAGUUCACACAGAGAAGCUAACACUGGCUGCUUGCCUGAGCAUUGUGUGCAAGGGUAGAUCCCAUAACUUCACAUCCCUGGCUAGUGUCAGGUCCCCUCAAAGUCUUUUAUUCUUCCUUCCUUGAUUCCCAGUUCUUCACAUGAUGGUGGAUCUCUAUAACCCCAGCUCUCAAGGGCAGGAGGAUUGGAGUUCAGCCUCUGCUACACUGUAAAUUACAUGAGACUCUGCUUACAAAACCAAACCAAAGCUUGGCUCCCAGUCUGCACCUGUUACUGGGGCAGCCUGUCCCUAUACCUUGUCACAAAGACAACAGUUUGUCUCUUGGAGUUUCAUUGACUUGUAGGCUGUCUCUGUGGGCACUGCUGCUCCCUUGGCAUGGGAUUCCAUCCUUCUGCAGUUGCUGGCUGCAUCUGUCACAUAGCACUAUUCACAUAAAGACGCAGCUAGGCUACAGAAAAGGGCCCAGUCUCUAGACAAACAAAUGAGUAAACAGUAUUGUUAGAACAAAUGCUUUUGUUCUAACAAUGUUAGAACAAAUGUUGUGACCAAAGCUUUUAGUGUGAAACGUUAUUUGUUUUUAUGAGUCAUCUCUCAGGACAUCUUCAAACUCGCAUGCUGGUGUCUGGUGAAGAGCUGGGUCUCCAGGUCACUUAUGGUCUGACCUCAUACAGUGUCUUCAGAGUCCAGUGUGGUCUUCCCUCACAGACCUCAGUUUGCUCAAAUGCUCUGUAGCCUCAGGUGGCAGUGACCAUUGUCCAGUAGACAGUCUUGUUUUUGGCUUUUCCUUGCUCUCAGCAGGUCACCAGCAACCUCUGGUAAUCUUUCCUUCAGGCACUUCCCACUCUGUGUAAAUGUUCCUGUGUCCUGCAAUGAUUUUAACAAACGCAGUGAACUGAGAUUGGACCAUGUUUUCCCUGAUGUGGGCUUGUCCUAGAGGACCCUGGAGCCAGGACCCAGGCCACUUUGAGGCAAUGCAUGCUGCUUCUGCCCUCCAGAUUAGCAGUUUGGCUCACGGUGCUUCAGAUAACUCCAAGGCUGAAGUGAAAGUGCCCUCUGUAGCCAUUGCUACCACUGGAUAAUUCUUAGGGAGACAGACUGUAAUUGUGGAUGGGCUAUGCUUUGGAAACAUACAGAGGCUCAAGCCUGGCUUCACCUACUUGGAUGUAACAAGAGGUGGGACCUUGAGUUCUCCUGGCAGCAGCCAUCUCUGGGGCUCUGGAGGGGGCCAACGUGAGGCCCAUAGAGCUAAUGCAAAGGGUCACCAGUCAGGACAAGAAAGAAUGCUACAAGCCUGGGAUGAGACUAUGUGGGACAUGUAGGCAGUCUGGCAUAGUCUCGGGGCUUGAAAGCAUUGUGUCUGAGGGUGUCAGAGACUCAUCCUCCAUGUCUUUGUCCCUAGCUUCUUGAAGGCCCUUCCUGUGUUCAGAGUCUUGCUUUCAGACUGCCUGGGUUCAUGUUCUGGCUCUGCUCUGACCAUGUGGAUCUGGCCAGUAUCUCUCUUUGCCUCGGUAUCUUCAUCCAUGAAUGGUGACAUGACUUCUUAAGUUUUUCUGAGUGCUGAAUGAAGCACAAGGCUCAGCAUCAUGCCAGGGAACCCUGGCUGUGCUUCACUGGGCAGAACUGGUUCCCCAGAACCUGCCUGCCCAGAAAGAGGACUUUGUUAUCUUGUUCUCCUUCCUUCCUUCCUUCCUUCCUUCCUUCCUUCCUUCCUUCCUUCCUUUCUCUCUCUCUCUCUUUCUCUCUCUCUCUUUCUCUCUCUCUUUCUUUCUUUCUUUCUUUCUUUCUUUCUUUCUUUCUUUCUUUCUUUCUUUCUUUCUUUCUUUCUUGUUGUUGUCUUUUCAAGACAGGGUUUCUUUGUGUAGCUCUGGUUGUCCUGGAACUCACUCUGUAGAGUAGGCUGGCCUGGAACUCAGAGAUCCGCCUGCUUCUGCCUCCUUAAAGGUGUGUGUCACCACUACCACUUGCUUGUUAUUUCUCUCAAUUAACUCACUUUAUGUGUUCAAAUCAGAGCAGAGUGUGAGUGUAGGUCUGUCUUAGGGAGAACAGCCUAUGAGGUGCCUGUAAGUGAGAAACCAGUUCAGGGUAGUAACUUGCGGUACCUGCACAUAGAAGGCACAGGUCAGAGGCAUCAGAAGGAGACUCGGGAUGCUGCCCCAGUCCAGGUGCCAAGGAGGGUGUCUUCUGGGAUUCAGCCCCUCUUAGUAGUCACAUUUUAACAGGAGAGCGUUUUUGCCUUUUCCCUUUUCCUUUUGAGUGCACACCAUCUCUUCAAUGAAAAAAAAUAAAAACAAAUAAACAAAAAUUCAAACAUCCAACUUUGCCCCAAUCAGUGGUAAUUUGUCAUUUGGGAAAACAUUCAAUUUCUGAAGGAAUGACAUAAAAAUAUGGUACUAUUCCACUGCUGGGUAGACCAGGACUCCCACCUGUGAAAGUUGUUUGCUCCUUAGUUCAGUGUUCCUGUGUCAACAUUUAGGCACUCAAGCAGAGGGAAAACUAAAAAGAGGCCAUGUGUUGGGUGGUACACAAUACCCAAUGAAGAAAAUGCCCCCCACACCACCCCAGUAAAGCAAAGGGGUUUACACUUACAUAUCCUAACUUCUAACACCCACACCAAUAACCAAAGGGUGUCAACACACACACACACACACAUACACACACACACACACACACACACACACACACACACGAACACACACCCCUACACACACACACACACACACACACACACACACAGGAUAUGAAGGGUGUCUUCUAGAUACCCAAUUAUCAGCACUUCACACCCCUACACCAACAACCAACCGAAUCCCCCAACAACCACAGCAUUUCACAAAUAUACAUGCACACUUUCCUAACACUAGUGGUUCCACAGCCUCCAGAAGCCAACCGUUUCAUCCAUGCACCCCAACCGCCAACACACACAGCUCUCUGUGAGACACCCUUCACCCCCAUCCCCAAGCUCCUGGAUUUGCUUGCUGCUGCAGCAGAUACUUGAACACUGAGACAUUAGCUGCGACUUUCUUUUCAGAUUAAUGAGCAGAAAAAGAUUGGAAGAGGGAGGGGGCGAGAAUGGCGAGAGAGCAAUUACACCCAAAUCUUUUCUCUGUUGAUUAGGGAUUCCUUCUCCAGCCUGCUUUGGCUCCGGCUAAAUCUUUUUCUAAUGAGAUGUGGCUUAUCCAGAUCAGGGCGCUGAGAAAAAAGUUGCAAUUAACUUUAAGAAGAAAAGGAGUGAGUGAGAAAGAAAGAAGUGUGGAGGAGGAGGAGGAGGGCAGGGAGUGGGGGCAGGGACUGGCACAGUGGGCACCGCCUGGCAGAGCCGCCACAGAGCAGGCUCCUGGGCAGGUGGAGGGCCCUGGAUGGCCUCAUGAGAGCCCACUACUUGCUGCUUGGAUUCUAGUGCUUAGGAAGGACCUUAUGGAGGCCCCUACAACCUGGAUUGGGUCUCUUGGCUGCUUCCUGUUCAAGUCAAGGAUGGGAAGUGGUCACUUCUAGUCUAGGGCUUUCUCCCCUUUGCAUUACGUUCUUCAUUCGUUUCUCUCUCUUUUAUACACUCAGCCUUGAAAAGACACAGGUCUUUGACCACUUUUAGGAUAUAUCAGGUCCAAGCUAGAUCUUAUAUCUGUCCACCAGCAGCCAGAAGCCACCAUACUUAAGUGGGCUUCAGAUAUGAGAGCUGAACUUCAGGGUCUUCCCGACUUGCCUCAUUCUACCUACAUGGGAAUAGGGUUCAGAGUCACUUAGAAGAUUGGAAAAGAGGAACUGGAGAGAUGGCUCAGUGGUUAAGAUCACAUACUGCUCUUUCGAGGACCUAAGUUCAGUUCCCAGCACCCAUGUUGGGAUGCUCAGGACCACCUGUGAUCCCAGUCCCAGGGAGACCUGAGUCCUCAACCUCGACAGGCACCUGCUCUCAUAUGAGCAUACCUACACACACACACACACACACACACACACACACACACACACACACACCAUUUAAAAAUAAAAUAAGAAGAAAGCAGAAGAGCUAAGAUGGAGAGGGACACUUCACACUGAUGUGGAGAGAAGCGAACGUGCUCUGUACUGCUGCGUUAAGCUUGGCCAACCAAAAGCUGUAGACUGGAAGUUUCUUCUCUCCGGGGACUCAACACUGUCACCUGUUAAGAAAAAUAAAGGGAGAAGUGGUGGACUCCAGGGCGGUUGCCCUCCCUGCGUCCAAUGAAAAGCACAGGCAUGGAAUCACUGAGCCUCUGUCCCCUGAGAUGCUCACUCUGCCUUGGGCAUCCACAGGACACCUGUACCUUCCUCCAAGACUUUAUCCACAGGGAGUUUUUUUUUUUUUUC
ensembl:lncRNA